rnacentral:misc_RNA from 1 species
UGGGCGACAGAGUGAUAUUCCUGCAAAAAGGAGAAGGGCAAACCUUUCAAAAGGCAUAACAUUACACUAAAGAAUAUGGAGAAAGACAUGCUAAGAAAAUAUUUACUUUGCCCCUCAAAGCACAAGGCAAAAAAACAAAAGCAAGGAUAAAUAUGAUAGUUUACAGAGUGAAUAAUAAAUGACACCUUGGAGAAAAGAGGAAGCAG